GGGCUCAUAACCCGAAGGUCAUAGGUUCAAAUCCUGUCCCCGCUACCA
rnacentral:tRNA from 1 species